rnacentral:lncRNA from 1 species
AAAACGAUGAUACUUACUUAAUUUUAACCAGAUCUGAUACCAAAUGAUGAGAACUCGUAUUCGAUGAUGAAAUUGAGUCGCUUGUUACCCGAUCGUAAAAUUAAGUAACAAAGUUUAUGUUAAUCAAAAAGGCUGUUUUCAAAGGUUGGUAGUUUAAAACAAAGGAAAUUGAUGGAUGAUAAAUUGAUGGAAAGAUGGAUAUUGAACUCAAC